rnacentral:misc_RNA from 1 species
GAUGAAGAACGUAGCGAAAUGCGAUACUUGGUGUGAAUUGCAGAAUCCCGUGAACCAUCGAGUCUUUGAACGCAAGUUGCGCCCGAAGCCACUAGGCCGAGGGCACGCCUGCCUGGGCGUCACACGCCGUUGCCCCCCCAUCUACUCCUUCGGGAUUGCGGGGGGGCGGAUGAUGGCCUCCCGUGCGCCUAGCCGCCCGGUUGGCAUAAAUACCAAGUCCUCGGCGACGCACGCCACGACAAUCGGUGGUUGCGAAACCUCGGUUGCCCGUCGUGUGCGUUCGUCGCGCAUCGAGGGCUCGAAAAAAUGCUCGGCUCCGGCUGGGCUUUCAACGCGACCCCAGGUCAGGCGGGGUUACCCGCUGAAUUUAAGCAUAUCAAUAAGCGGAGGA